rnacentral:lncRNA from 1 species
GUUAGGUCAAAAAUUUUAUAAUUGAAGAGAAAUCAAUUGACACUACAACAGAAUUGGGUUAUAGCAACACAUGUUUGGGACACUUUUGUGUAAGUGUCCCAUUUAUACCAAAACUUAAAAAAAAUCUACUAAUGCCUAAAUAAAAAGCCCAAUCCAACCAAAAAUAAAAGAUUACUCUACUCAACCCACCCCACCCAGCCUAUUUGGUCCGAUUACAAACAGAAAAGAAAAAAAAAAAAGAAAAAUCGAUUAUCAUCUGCUCUUCUCCCCUUACCCAAUCCACUGAAAUUCUAGACGAAGAGCCCUUCCCUCUACUCAUCCUCCGCUACCGCAGUCAACGAGGUAGAGUUCUGGCGGUUGCUAAAUACUUAAAUAAGUAUUAGUAAAUAAGCAGCACUCUUUUUGGUUUAUACCGACACUCUUUAACUGUCACUAUAUACCUAGCGACCUCACAUAUAGCAACACUUUUUAAAAGUGUAGGUAAUUUAGGCAGCAGCACUUGUUUUGACCUGUACCGAUAUUUAAAAGUGUCGCUAUAGACCGUUUUUGUUGUAGUGUGAUUUAAUUGAAGAGUGAUCUUAUCUAUUAUUUUGUUUUUAAUUUAA